AACGAACGCUGGCGGCAUGCCUAACACAUGCAAGUCGAACGAGACCUUCGGGUCUAGUGGCGCACGGGUGCGUAACGCGUGGGAACCUGCCCUUAGGUUCGGAAUAACUCCCCGAAAGGGGUGCUAAUACCGGAUAAUGUCUUCGGACCAAAGAUUUAUCGCCUUUGGAUGGGCCCGCGUUGGAUUAGCUAGUUGGUAGGGUAAAAGCCUACCAAGGCGACGAUCCAUAGCUGGUCUGAGAGGAUGAUCAGCCACACUGGGACUGAGACACGGCCCAGACUCAUACGGGACGCAGCAGUGGGCGAUAUUAGACCAUCGGCUAAAGCCUGAUCCAGCAAUGCCGCGUGAGUGAUGAAGGCCUUAGGGUUGUAAAGCUCUUGUACCCGGGAUGAUAAUGAGAGUACCGGGAGAAUAAGCUCCGGCUAACUCCGUG
rnacentral:rRNA from 1 species